GGGCAGCGGUGGUGAAGGCUUGCCUUUACCAGCCGGCGACCGGCGCACGGGUGAGUAACACGUAUGCAACCUGCCUGCCACAGCCGGAUAAUCGGGAGAAAUUCCGUCUAAUACGGCAUAAUGCAUCGACGGGACAUCCUGUUGGUGCCAAAGGUUGAUUCCGGUGGCGGAUGGGCAUGCGUCGCAUUAGUUAGUUGGCGGUGUAACGGACCACCAAGACGACGAUGCGUAGGGGUUCUGAGAGGAAGGUCCCCCACACUGGUACUGAGACACGGACCAGACUCCUACGGUAGGCAGCAGUGAGGAAUAUUGGUCAAUGGGCGGGAGCCUGAACCAGCCAAGUCGCGUGAGGGAUGACGGCCCUAUGGGUUGUAAACCUCUUUUGCCGGGGAGCAAAGUGCCGCACGUGUGCGGUUUGGAGAGUACCCUGAGAAUAAGCUUCGGCUAACUCCAUGCCAGCAGCCGCGGUAAUACGGAAGAUGCGAGCGUUAUCCGGAUUUAUUGUGUUUAAAGGGUGCGAGGCGGACGCUAAGUCAGCGGUAAAUGCGGGGGCUCAACUUCGUCGAGCCGUUGAAACUGGGUGCCUUGAGUGGGCGAGAAGUACGCGGAAUGCGUGGUGUAGCGGUGAAAUGCAUAGAUAUCACGCAGAACUCCGAUUGCGAAGGCAGCGUACCGGCGCCCAACUGACGCUGAAGCACGAAGGCGUGGGUAUCGAACAGGAUUAGAUACCCUGGUAGUCCACGCAGUAAACGAUGAAUGCUAGUUGUCCGGGGCGAUUGAGUUCUGGGUGACACAGCGAAAGCGUUAAGCAUUCCACCUGGGGAGUACGCCGGCAACGGUGAAACUCAAAGGAAUUGACGGGGGCCCGCACAAGCGGAGGAACAUGUGGUUUAAUUCGAUGAUACGCGAGGAACCUUACCCGGGCUCAAACGCAGGAGGGAUGUUUUUGAAAGGAGGCAGCCAGCAAUGGUCUCCUGCGAGGUGCUGCAUGGUUGUCGUCAGCUCGUGCCGUGAGGUGUCGGCUUAAGUGCCAUAACGAGCGCAACCCCUACCUACAGUUGCCAUCGCGUGAUGGCGGGCACUCUGUGGGGACUGCCUGCGCAAGCAGUGAGGAAGGCGGGGAUGACGUCAAAUCAGCACGGCCCUUACGUCCGGGGCGACACACGUGUUACAAUGGCAGGUACAGCGGGAAGCCACCCGGCGACGGGGCGCGGAACCCGAAAACCUGUCUCAGUUCGGAUUGGAGUCUGCAACCCGACUCCAUGAAGCUGGAUUCGAUAGUAAUCGCGCAUCAGCCACGGCGCGGUGAAUA
rnacentral:rRNA from 1 species